AAAAAAGCCACAUCGGAUGAAUUAUGGUUUCCUUCUCUUUCUCAGAGCCGCAGUAGCCCACGGCCACAUCUAGUUAGAACGUAGAGCCGUUAACCAUCAUCACCGGAGACUGAGCCUCGACGUGGAAACACUUCAGCAGCUCUUUGGCGGGAGACUGAAGUAUCUGGCUUACUCGGUGUCACGUCUCCUUUUGUGCACCUUCUGUGGGACUGCUGGGAGCAAAGUGAAGUUGUUGGGGCCUUCAAGACUUUGGUGUUGCCCAGAGCCUUUGCUGGAAGAAUCCCUGAUGUUGAAUCUGAUCACCUAUCAGACCCCCACUGGCCACCACUUUGACUUCCUGACUGGGCACCAUGUCGCGUACCCGUCAACUAAAUCAUCUCCUUUCAACUGCCUGUAACCAGGUUGGUUUGUUUCAAUAAAGGGCACAAGCAGCAAAUGUCACCCAAGCCUCCUGCCUCGCUCUUCUUGGUGUGGAAAAUCUGCAAACAUUGCCAUUGUAAAAAGUUAAAAUUUUAAAAGCAACAUACAAAAAGCCGCAUGUACAGUAAGUACCGUAGGCUGCUAAUUUACUUUAAUUAAUGCUUAAAAUAUAGAAAAAGACUGAGAGCUAAUACACCAGAAUAUUAACAGAUGAUUAUCUUUGGGCAGAUUACUGGUAAUGUUUAUUUGUUUCUUACACAUUUCUUUAACUUACAAAUUUUCUAUAACAAAUACGAUCCUUUUUAAUUUAAUAUUAUUUAAAAUUCAAGAAAUGUCACUGUGUAAAUGCAAAUGGUAUAAUGG
rnacentral:lncRNA from 1 species